CCAAAGCACAGCUCCCAGCAGGUCCCCAGUAGUUGUCGCACACGCAGACUGGCGCACUUAUCAUCCUCGAAUUUCGAGUAUACUUCUGAGUUUUCGCGUGUACCACACCUGCGCGCGCUCGACCAUCUUCUCCAGGUACUCGAUCCCUCUGCUCGUUCUCCUUUCUGAUUUGUGCGUUUUGGCCCCUCUUCUCUUUUCCACUUCUUUCUUUGUUUGGAACCUCACUCGUGUCUCUGUCUGUCUCCUUGUACUUCCCCUUUUACGUUGCAUGAUCUAGCGUCAUCAUCUCUGUCUGUGUAUCUUUUUAUCUUGUACCCCCCCCUUCACUCACCUGCCAUCGCUGGCGGUGCUCUCGGACCCCCCCUCCAUCCCUCCCUCGCUCUUGUGGUGUUGCGUAUUUGUGAUCAAAAGGUAGAGGCAGAGGGAACAAGAGACAAAUAAAGAGGGAGAGAACUGCCAGGUGUGCCGGCAUCUGUGUCACGUGGCCGCUUGCACCUGAUUUAUUAUACAAAGACAGCACAUCUCCCUGUUGCUCUGCCUCCAUUCACCACCACCACCCGCCUGUGCACAAGCGCCGGGGUGAUUGUGUAAGUACGUCAUACCCCCUCGUGCGGAUCGUCACACCAUUUCGCUUUUUGUUGCUAGUGUUUCGGCAGUCAUCAUUGAUCAGAGCGUACAGACGAUCACGAGCAGCGUGGCCCCGUGGGACGGCAACGGGCUUUCGACCUUCUUCGACUUUCUCGAAGGAGAGAGUCUUCACCUUCCUCCGACACCGAUGCUGCUCGGCAACGGAGGCGUGGCCGACAGUGUUACAGCUGUUGCUGCUACCGAUUCUAUCAAGAACCCCAUGGAGCGGCCGCCAGCAUCCGAGGGAAACCUGCAACCGCAGCUGUCGAAAGGCGCCCUACAAGACGUGUUGGAGGGUGAAAAGCAUCGCCGACUACAAACUGUCGACGUCGGCGGCAUGGUGGGGUACCGCCGCGUCGCGCGGCCUCGCAAUGAAUCGGUCUACCGCGGCCUCGCGCCGUCGUCGCGGUCGACAAAGAAGCAACUCACCGCUGCCGACGAGCAGCUGUGCAAGCGACUGGCUGCAUCGCACAACAGCAGCAGCAGCACCUUGCAGCAUCACUCUGCCUCCGGCGUCUCCUCAGGUGCUGCAUCGCAGAAGGUGUGCAAUGACAACUCGACGUCUCUGCUCUCCUGCAAGGGUGCACGUCAGCAAGCCAUCGAAGAGGACCGCGAUACUGACCUCUCCGCCGCCGCCUGCGGGGGCGCAGUUGUGGGCCUGCGAGAGUCCUCCGCGGUUGUUCUGCAGCCACUCGACACUCUGCAGGAUACCCCUCUGGACGAGGGCAAAGACCACCCCAAUGGUAAAGGCGAUUAUUCCCCAAGCUUCACCGGCGGCACCGGCUAUCCUGACACGGCGGCGGCGGCGGCAGCGAUACGGGUGCCAAUGCUGGAGUCUAGAGGCCAGCCCUCUUGCCGGCAGUCUUCAAGGGUUUCUUCGCCGCUUAGCUCUCACCCUACAAGCAUCAUAACGGCCAAGCCAUCAUUCAAGAGCUGCAGCGCCCAACCCCAGAGUGUGCGCACGGUCGAGUCCUUUCGAAGCCUGACUGGCAGUCGCAUCAACUACCCCGGGAGCGUGCCGGGCAGCUCGGUCGGGUACGCCGACGACGUAACUAGGGUUGAUGAGCGGCACCGGCCCAUCCGUCGUAUGAGCUCUUCAUGCGACCUGUCGGUUGUCUGGAUUGCGCCGCCGCUCUGUGAGUGGCUGAGACCAGGCGAAGCGUGCUCGGUCAAAGGCAACUCGAUGGCACGGUCGCACCGCGCUCCAUCAGCGAGGACACCUGUGGCGCAGGCUCGUGUGCCUGGAGCACCUUGCCGUCUCCCAUCAACAACGACGCCGCAUAAGAAGCAGGAAACCUCACGAUCCCGCUCGUCACACGGUGAGGCUUCAUUGGGCUCUGCUCACAUGGGAGAAAAGAGCGACGAAGAGCGACACGUAUUGCAGUGCUGGCUUAGUAGCACUUGUGGCUCUUUCACUCAUGCGAACAGACCGAAAAUGGCGUCGGCGGCAGAGGGACGCCUUAUCGGUCAUGCAGCAGGCAACGACCGUAGCUGCGCGGACGGCCAUCAGUGGCCACUCCGUGAGCAAGCUGCUCGAACGCCAGAGUCGGCAGCACAACACUCCCCCUCGGCUUCAUCUCGGCGCGAGGCGCUCAGUGCCGUCACGCCAACCCUUGGCGAGGUGCUGGAGAGAAACCGUGCUGAUCUCAAGGUGCAGCCCAACGCCCCCUCCGUUGCGGCGCCAUAUUCUCCGAGUGCGGCCUACACUCGCAGUGGCGACAGAUGGACUGCCGCACCAGCUCAUCUUCCUGCGCUCACCUGGUCGGCUGUCUGCGCCGCGGCUCAACAUCCGUAUUAUGCAUCCGGGCAGCAACAGCAACGCCCUGUGCCCUACGUGCACACGUAUGAUGUCGCGUACCACGACGAAGGUCAGACCUACGCUGCAACAGAGGUAACAAACGCCUACAUGCAUGGUGGCAGUGGGAUUUUCCUUCCAGGGCUGGAACGCGCGAAGCCGUCGUGCGUGCGGCCGGUGGGCGGCCUCAAGGCAAACAAAUGGCGGGCACCGGUGCCCCCGGCCAAGCGCCGUGUCGUUUUUGAGUUGCUCGACCCGUUAGUCCCUGUCCGCCCCAGGCCCACACUUCGUCAGUUUCAACGACCUCGCCGGCCACCACAGCGCUCCCCACAGCGGCCGACUAGCAAAUUGUUGGGAAGCAGCCAACAGAAACGCAUAGGCCUUGCCGAGGUCGAGGCAGCCGCUUCUCCCAUACAGCAGGUGCGCCAGCAAGCGCUGUCGCUGCAGCGAGAAAACACAUCCGCGGCAACCAGUGACCGCGAGGACAUGACGCUUACGGGCCUGGGUGAGGACGAGGAAUGGGCUUCGGCGCAUAACUACCCGGCCGUGGAGCCUCCGCGAACGGCUGCUCCCGCUGAUGAUACCGUGUACGCCACUGUCGCUCGGAAACGCAAGCUCAACCUCCACAAGAGGAAGGCACAGCAGAAUGCGAGACUUUACCGUGCGUUUGCUCCAUACAUGGCAAGCCUGCGGGCCGGCCCCGGUGCGGGGGGGCGAGGCCGCGCGGUGCAGCGCAAGCAGAAGUGUAGGAAAAAUGGUCUGUUACCGCACCAGCGCGGAAGCAGCGACGCACAAAACGAUCUACAGUCGAUGAACUACGCUGCUCUGGCGACGGAGUGUGACCCGCUGGAUCACCUGCUGAGUCGACACGGAUUCUGGGGUGAGGCAAUGACGCGGCUCUAGGGGAGGUGCAAAAGAGGAGCAGCUCUUUUCAGCGGCGAAGACGUGCAUGCGCAUGAGUAAUGUGCCUGUGUAUGUGUAAGUGUAGCCCGUCUCGUCAGAUGGCCAAUUGAUUUUUCUUUUAUUUUUUUUUCGAUCGGGGGCGGGGACGUUCAAUAAUUGAAAGUUUCCACUUCGCCGCCUCCCAUGGAACAUCCAAGCAAGCGCAGUAGGGCAUCCUUCGUCGCCUCUGUCACCUCCCCCCCCCACUCCUUCGCUCAUGCCCCCAUCCCCUCUUGGAUGUUUUGAUACUACACUACUCUUCUCUACUGUAACACCUUGAAAUCCACCUUCGCACGUUUUCCACCGGCUCUAAUGGCUCACUUUCGUUUUUUUUUGGGGGGAGCUCUCUUUGCUCAUAAGAUGCGGAGUCUCGGAGGGCCCUGGCCUGCGGCUCGCCAACUGCCUCCCUGAGCUCGUGCGGCACGCGCCUGGGCCACACCCUGCUGCCCGCGCGACAGAAGUCACCGCCUCCGCACCGGAGCAGGGCUCUGGGCGCUGCUCGCCUGGAUCAGGGCGUGCAGUCCACCCAGGUCCGCGUGGUGCCGGUGGGACGGUACACAUGGGAAGAGGGGACGGGGGAAGGACAGGACGGGCUCGUCCUAGGCGGCCAGAAUGUAGCCGUGGCGCAACAGAAGUAGAUGAGUGGUGGUGCUGUGUUGUGUGUGUGUGCGUGCGUAUACGUGCUUGGCCGGUCUGUGGGCGCAUGGCACGGCAAAGACGGGAGAAGAAUAAAACGCCUGGUUGUUUUCAUAAUCUCACACUCUUGCAAACCUUCAUCCUGGGAGGCGGGAGGGGCACAGCUGAGUGUGAUGGCGUUUUCCUUGAUGAUGCUCUCGUUUUUUUUCUUUGGGAGAGAGGCUUUGCCCGUACUUCCUUGGGCCUUCGUCUUGAUCUCAUGCAUUCCUCCUUUGCGACCCGUCCUGUCUCUCACGCGGUCUCUGUCUGUCUGUCGGAAGCCCAUUUCAUUCCUGCUCGUUCUCUCGCCCACGGAAACACUUCGGCUGCUCCGGCGUCUGUGCAUGAUUUUAGGUGUGUGUGUGUGUGUGUGUGUGUGUUUCUCCUUCGUUUGUUGUGGCCGUGUGCGCACGAUUGAUCGACCGUGUCUGCGUGGUGGCGUAUGCAGGCGGAGAGGGAGGGAGGAGAGCCCCCCUCCCACUCGCUCGCUCACUUGCUCGUUUCUCCAUGAUACGGGCACGCGAAUGCCUUGAGGAAAGACGGAGCAGCGCUUGUUGUCGCCGACGUUUGUGUCUGUUUCGGUGUCUCCCCUCGACUUCAUACUCUCCCACGCUUUCACCCAUUCGCAUGUACGGCAUGUGCCACUCCUCUGCUUCGCUGCAUCUCCCUUGUGCACGUGUGUACCGUGCGAGAAAAGCCUGCCUUCAUGCGGCUCUGUGUGCGGCUGGGAAGUUGGCAUCCCUGUGCCUCGGGCUGUUGGUGUAGCGGUGCUAUCACCAUGCUUCUUGUUUUACUCUCCUCCCCUUGGGUGUUCUCGAUGCCUUUCGUGCUCCGGGUCGAACAUUCAUAACAGGUGGGGGAAGGGGGCACACACCCCUCGGUGCGUGGCAUCUCAGGGCUCGGUACACCGACGCUCGGCGGAAAAGCCACGUAUCCCCAUACCUCACCCUGUCAAUGCCGAGCCACCUCUGGUGGUGGCAUGGCCUAGUGCCUACGACGUAGCGGGGCCAGAGCAACCUGCGAUGGCGAAAACGCUUGUGCCAUCCACGUGAUGGGCAAGGUGUCAGCGUGGCUGUGAGGCGGGCGGGCAGAGUGUGAGGCAGCGGCCACGCUCAGGUGACUGAGUCGGUGCACGGCUGUAACGCGUGUGUGCAGGGCUGCUUCGCACCACGCGAUGGGGGCCUGUGACCGGCGUGGAGGGGGUGUAGAGUUGGGGGGCGGCUAAGCCGUGUUGAAUGGCGGAGAAGCGGGCACGCUGGACGGGACAACAAGCGCAUUGGCACUCGUGCUCGAGUGAGCGAUAGGGCCUUUUUUUGGAUACGGUGCCCGUUCUCCUCUGCCUCUUGGCUCGCUGACCAGUCUGACCCCCUCCCCCUCCGCAAACCCUACCGUCUCCCACCCUCGUGGUUGUGUGCGGCGCUGCGUGUGUACGCUGAAGCCGCAAGCUCUUCCUUUUGCCAUGCUGCCUGCACCCGUCGAACCUUUGAAAGAUUGUGCCGGUGUGAGCGCGCCUGUUGUCUCCCUCUCUUUGGGUGCGUGCCAUCACUCCAGCAGUCAUCGACUCAGACCAAUAAAACACCGAAGGGCAGCUCUUCUGGUGCCUAUCCUUGCCCUCCUCCGCGUGGACCGUACAUCGCUCAUCUUUCCGGUCUUUUGCCUUUCUCUCGUCGAUGUGUACACCCCCACCCCUCCACGUGUUGUUUGCUCUCUUGAUGGCGGUGCAACGCUGCUUUACUGUGUGGCCGGCCGCUGCUCACUCCCUCCCUGUAUCCCCUCUUUAUGUAUAUUCGUGUGUUCAGUGUGUUUCCGUUGCCCUUCGCCGGUACUGUGCGGCCCAUGGCCACAGUCACUCUCUCUCCCCUCAUCCCUUAUGUUCUGCCUUUGCCUUCGCCUCUUUCUCUCUUGCAGCUGUGUCGCAC
rnacentral:misc_RNA from 1 species